rnacentral:misc_RNA from 1 species
UUGUUGCCAUCUUGUUUGUAGGUACCUUAACCUGUGAGCCAUCUUAUGAUCGUGCUAAUUUAUUUUUGUAAAAAUAAAAUAUAUUGCAUAAGCAUAUAUGAUUAUACUAAGUCCUAUUUGUCUUCAGAUUUUCUGAUCAUACAAACUUGAAGUAAAAAGAUGUAUUUCUUUAUUUUAAGAAGGCAUAUUGGAUAAAAAAAAAAA